UCACUGGAUCCUGUAUGAUCACUGAAGUUAAGCAACUUCGAGCCUAGUCAGUACCUUGAUGGUGACUGCUUGGAAAUACCAGGUGCUGUAA